rnacentral:rRNA from 1 species
GAUGAACGCUGGCGGCGUGCCUAAUACAUGCAAGUCGAGCGAACAGGCGAGGAGCUUGCUCCUCUGACGUUAGCGGCGGACGGGUGAGUAACACGUGGAUAACCUACCUAUAAGACUGGGAUAACUUCGGGAAACCGGAGCUAAUACCGGAUAAUAUAUUGAACCGCAUGGUUCAAUAGUGAAGGACGGUUUUGCUGUCACUUAUAGAUGGAUCCGCGCCGCAUUAGCUAGUUGGUAAGGUAACGGCUUACCAAGGCGACGAUGCGUAGCCGACCUGAGAGGGUGAUCGGCCACACUGGAACUGAGACACGGCCCAGACUCCUACGGGAGGCAGCAGUAGGGAAUCUUCCGCAAUGGGCGAAAGCCUGACGGAGCAACGCCGCGUGAGUGAUGAAGGUCUUCGGAUCGUAAAACUCUGUUAUUAGGGAAGAACAAAUGUGUAAGUAACUAUGCACGUCUUGACGGUACCUAAUCAGAAAGCCACGGCUAACUACGUG